UACGAAGGGGGCUAGCGUUGCUCGGAAUCACUGGGCGUAAAGCGCACGUAGGCGGAUUGUUAAGUCAGGGGUGAAAUCCUGGAGCUCCAACUCCAGAACUGCCUUGAUACUGGCGAUCUCGAGUCCGGGAGAGGUGAGUGGAACUGCGAGUGUAGAGGUGAAAUUCGUAGAGUAUUACGCAAGAACACCAGUGGCGAAGGCGGAGCUC
rnacentral:rRNA from 1 species